AUUGAACGCUGGCGGCAGGCUUAACACAUGCAAGUCGAGCGAGCGGCGGACUGGUGAGUAGUGUAUGGGAAACUGCCUGAUGUAGGGAGCUGACUGCUGGAACCGGUAGCUAAUACCGCAUAACAUCCGUUGUGCCGAGAUGGGAUUAGCUAGUCGGUGGGGUAAUGGCUCACAUAGGCGACGAUGCCUAGCUGGUCUGAGAGGAUGACCAGCCACACUGGAACUGAGACACGGUCCAGACGCCUACGGGAGGCAGCAGUGGGGAAUAUUGGACAAUGGGCGCAAGUCUGAUGCAGCAAUGCCGCGUGUGUGAAGAAGGCCUUCGGGUUGUAAAGCACUGUCAGCGAGGAGGCGUUACUCGCAGAAGAAGCACCGGCUAACUCCGUGCCAGCAGCCGCGGUAAUAC
rnacentral:rRNA from 1 species